rnacentral:tRNA from 2 species
UCCUCGGUAGCUCAAUGGUAGAGCACGCGGCUGUUAACCGCGCUGUUGUAGGUUCGAGUCCUACCCGGGGAG